rnacentral:rRNA from 1 species
GAUGAACGCUAGCGGCAGGCCUAAUACAUGCAAGCCGGACGGCAAGUUGAGUAGCAAUACUUGACCUAGAGUGGCGUAAGGGUGCGUAACACGUAUGCAAUCUGCCCACAGCCGGGAGAUAGCCCUCCGAAAGGAGGAUUAAUAUCCCAUAGGAAGAUGAGAUGGCAUCAUUUUAUUUUUAAACUACGGGGCUGUGGAUGAGCAUGCGGUUGAUUAGCUAGUUGGCGGGUAAGGCCCACCAAGGCGAUGAUCAAUAGGGGACCUGAGAGGGUGAUCCCCCACACUGGCACUGAGAUACGGGCCAGACUCCUACGGGAGGCAGCAGUAGGGAAUAUUGGACAAUGGGUGAAAGCCUGAUCCAGCAAUGCCGCGUGAGUGAUGAAGGCCUUAGGGUUGUAAAGCUCUUUUACCCG